UACGGAGGGGGCUAGCGUUGUUCGGAAUUACUGGGCGUAAAGCGCACGUAGGCGGCUUUGUAAGUUAGAGGUGAAAGCCCAGGGCUCAACCCUGGAAUUGCCUUUAAGACUGCAUCGCUUGAACAUCGGAGAGGUAAGUGGAAUUCCGAGUGUAGAGGUGAAAUUCGUAGAUAUUCGGAAGAACACCAGUGGCGAAGGCGGGUCUCUGGGCAACAACCGACGCUGAGGAGCGAAAGCGUGGGGAGCGAACAGG
rnacentral:rRNA from 1 species